CCUCCUGCCCCUACCCAAACCACAUAGACUGACUUUACCUCCCCUGCAUCUGAGCCCAAGACUGUCAGGCUUAUGAGAGCUUCCUCCGGGCAGGACUCGGAGGGUUUCAGUUUUACGGUUUGAAAAACAGGAGGAUAUUAGGAGAGGCUUUUCUUUCAGCAGGGACACACUGGAGCGACUGGGCAGAUGACCGAAAUGAAGAGGUGGGGAGGAGGCCAGGGUCGCAGGAGGGCGGAACCCUCAAGCCAACAAUGGCAGGUGCUGGGAAGGGGGCAGAGUCUGAGCCAAGCUGCAAAAGGAAGAAGAGAAGCCUCACCCUCUCCAUAGACAAUGGAGGGAGAAGGAGCUCCUGGGAGAUGUGUGGGGUUAGGGGAAUGAGGGUGAUCCUGCCUGAAAGACUGAGGAGCCCCAAAGGUGUGGAGUGGGUGAGGUAGGGUCGGAGAGGCCUGGACCCAGAGUCAGGAGUGAAGUCAUCUUGGAGAAAACGAGAGGAGGGUGAAAGCUGAGUGUUCCAGCCCCAUCAGAUGGUCCCCACCGGACUCUUGAAGUGGAGAUUACAAAUUACAAGUGACAUGAAUGGACAUAAUUUUCUACCGUUUCUCCAAGAAUGCUCACCUGGAGAGGUGCAAAAACAGCAGGAAGGGGUAUGGGGUUCAACUCAGUGUUGGACUUUGCCCAACAGGGCUCAUGGAGAACACCGUGAUCCAGUGAGGACUUCUGAUAAGCUGCGGGCAGCAGCCCGAGUGGGAGGAAGUCCGGGUGGCGUGGUGGACACACGGAAGGCAGCUCACUGCUCACGGUCUAUGUGAUCGUGAAACUGAAGGGUCAUCUCUUAGGGCGGCUGAUUUGGAAGGAGCAGGAGCUUGGGGUGAGAUGCACAGAUUGGUGUCCUUGGAGAGGAACGCUGGCAGCCAGUCCUUGGGAGGAACUACAAGAGUGACCAGAGAAGUAUUAUGGCCGGGUCCACCUCGCUGUGAGCACAUGUGCAUCUGACUUCUAAGAGAAAAAUUCCAAAAAGGAGCCCGCUGUAAUUGAUUGGAAAUACAUCUGACUUAUAAUCAAAAAGGAACACUGUGGGCUCACUGCCAGACUAUAUGAAUCUCCAGGGUUUUUCAGCACCCGAAAGGCACAAAAGUCCAGAGAACAUGAAAAAUAGUAUGCUCAAUGCAAAUGUAUCAGAUGACGCUUCCAUGUCACCAUCAGAAUAUGAAAAAUAGAAAUCUUAGAAGAAGAGUUUUUAUUAACUAACAGGUAUAAUUAAAGACAAUGGAAAUAAGCAUAUUAAGAAGAAAAUAUAUUCAUUUAAUUGUGAAGAAGAUCUUCAUUUGAUGUCAGCUGUGAGGUCUGGACAAUCCUUUGUUGAAUCCAAGAUUUCUGAAAUGGUGUCCAUUAUGACUUCAUUUAAUGCAAGUAAUUAAUAUUUGUCAAAAAUAUACCCUAUGGUAUCUAGAAGAAUAUACUUUCUAAAUAUUGGCAUGUGUAUUCUCAAAAGAAGAAAAAGCUGGUAAGACAGUGAUGUGUUUAUUCACAUCAAACCUUCAAGCAAAGAAACUCUCAGCAGUCCCUAUGGAUCAAUCGUGCAUUACAGCUCAGCUCCACCAACACACUGCAAACAACUAAGACUCAAGGGAGCAAACAAAAACAGCGAGUUCUAGGAAUGGUUGAUUUGGGGUAUGAAACAAAGGUGCUGUUGCUCAAACUCUGGGUGAAGGAAUAAUCCAAGUGGCUGACAAUCAUGGACACUGUUUCUGAGGUCAGAGUGGGGAAUCUGUGACAGUGAGAACAUAAUCUUCCGUGAGUUAAGAGCUGAGGUUGACAGCGGUAAGUCGCCCACCACCUCUCCCUGCUGGACCACGAGGUUAGCGACUUUGAAAAGUUUCCUUGCUGAGGCUUCCAUGAUCUUCUGUUGUUGUUUUUGUUAUUAUCUUGCCUGGGACGUGUCUUGAUAAUGGUAAUUAAUGGCAGGAUACAACUUAUUUCUCAAUACGCUAUUUAAUAGACACAUUUUCUAGGCAAAUAGUAUAGUUGGAAAAGUCAAAAAUAACUGUCACUAAGUCUCGGGGGUGAGGGAAGAGACGAAGUGACACACAUUCUCUUAUAACGAAACCUAUUUAUUAUUAAACAUCUUCGUAGAAUAUACGGAGGUUAUUUUCAUCCAUCCAUUCAAAUGGUAGUUUUUGAGUGUCUUUUUCACAUGAUUAUGAGGUGCUGUGGGGAUAGAAAAUGCUUAAGUUGUAGGCUGUGCGUUAAGGACCUUGUGACAUACGUGUGCAUGCUUAGGAAGGAUUUCCUCCCAGAGAUGCAGGGUUUCUAGUUCAUUCCAAAUUAAACAAUGGCAAGAGUCGUGGGCUCCCUCUCCUUACAGGUUGGAGUAUCAGAAUCAACACGUUCUGCUUUUACAUUUUUCCUCUUUCCCAAACUGGAGAAGGCAUUUAAUGAAGGGCUCAGUGUGUAGCCCAGGGUCGGAACGUCUGGAAGGUCUGAAGAAGCUGUUCAGAUGCAAGGUCGGGGGAAGCCAGUCUUGGGCACGUGCACGCUCCAGGUCACACCUGUCUGCUCGGAGAAGCCAGGACUGACCACUAUUUCCUUCUCACAUUAAAAAACAAUCUAACUACCAAGUCAACCUCCUCACUCCAUCUGAAAACACAUUUAAGAGGCUGAGGCAGGAGAACCCUUUGAACCUGGGAGGCGGAAGUUGCAGUGUGCUGAGAUGGUGCCACUGCACUCCAGCCUGGGCAACAGAGCAAGAUCCCAUCUCAAAAGACAUUACGUAUUUUAUUUUACUUUUAAAAAUCCAUUUCUUUUAUUAUAACAGGGCUCAGUUAAUAAAAUUACUUACCAAAUGAAAAAGACCAUUUUCUUAGAUGAAAAAGCAAGUGAGUUGAUAUAUUUUAAAUAAUAAAACUUACAUCUAUUACAAUACUCAGAGAAUCAUGAAUAUGUACAUUUGAACUAAAACAUUCAGAGCCUUACCUCAGGUCACACUUUCAACGUCUCUAGAAGCAAUAAAAAGACACCUUUCCUCUCAACCACAGUAGCUGCAGGAGAUUGAAAGGCAAUGUAAGAGCAGGCUGGGGACCAUAAAAAUUCCAGCUUUUGCAACAAAGACACAAUCUUUGUACUGAGCAUGAUUUCAACUUUAACAUAAGGAAGCAAAAUAUUUUUUUCUGAAGUUAAACAUUAAUAACAAGAUAUAUAAAUUUUUUUUUCCAUGUAAUGCACACGAAUUGAAUUAACUUUGAAUCAACUUUGUCAGUACUUAGUAAGCAUUCAGAUGUCCAGAG
rnacentral:lncRNA from 10 species